GCCCUGAGGGGGAAAGCGGGGGAUUCUUCGGAACCUCGCGCGAUUGGAGCGGCCGAUGUCGGAUUAGCUAGUAGGUGAGGUAAAGGCUCACCUACGCGACGAUCCGUAGCGGGUCUGAGAGGAUGAUCCGCCACACUGGGACUGAGACACGGCCCACACUCCUACUGGAGGCAGCAGUGGGGAAUUUUGGACAAUGGGGGCAACCCUGAUCCAGCCAUGCCGCGUGAGUGAAGAAGGCCUUCGGGUUGUAAAGCUCUUUCGGCCGGGAAGAAAUCGUGGUCUCUAACAUAGGCCAUGGAUGACGGUACCGGACUAAGAAGCACCCGGCUAACUACGUGCCAUCAGCCGCGGUAAUUACGUAGGGUGCGAGCGUUAAUUCGGAAUUACUGGGCGUAAAAGCGUGCGCAGGCGGUUUUGUAAGACAGAUGUGAAAUCCCCGGGCUUAACCUGGGAACUGCGUUUGUGACUACAAGGCUAGAGUACGGCAGAGGGGGGUGGAAUUCCUGGUGUAGCAGUGAAAUGCGUAGAUAUCAGGAGGAACACCGAUGGCGAAGGCAGCCCCCUGGGCUUUGUACUGACGCUCAUGCACGAAAAGCGUGGGGAGCAAAACAGGAUUAGAUACCCUGGUAGUCCACGCCCUAAACGAUGUCGACUAGUCGUUCGGAGCAGCAAUGCACUGAGUGACGCAGCUAACGCGUGAAGUCGACCGCCUGGGGAGUACGGCCGCAAGGUUAAAACUCAAAGGAAUUGACGGGGACCCGCACAAGCGGUGGAUGAUGUGGAUUAAUUCGAUGCAACGCGAAAAACCUUACCUACCCUUGACAUGUCUGGAGCCUUGGUGAGAGCCGAGGGUGCCUUCGGGAGCCAGAACACAGGUGCUGCAUGGCUGUCGUCAGCUCGUGUCGUGAGAUGUUGGGUUAAGUCCCGCAACGAGCGCAACCCUUGUCAUUAGUUGCCAUCAUUUAGUUGGGCACUCUAAUGAGACUGCCGGUGACAAACCGGAGGAAGGUGGGGAUGACGUCAAGUCCUCAUGGCCCUUAUGGGUAGGGCUUCACACGUCAUACAAUGGUUGGUACAGAGGGUUGCCAAACCGCGAGGUGGAGCCAAUCCCUUAAAGCCGAUCGUAGUCCGGAUCGUAGUCUGCAACUCGACUACGUGAAGUCGGAAUCGCUAGUAAUCGCAGAUCAGCAUGCUGCGGUGAAUACGUUCCCGGGUCUUGUACACACCGCCCGUCACACCAUGGGAGUGGGUUUCACCAGAAGUAGGUAGCUUAACCUUCGGGAGGGCGCUA
rnacentral:rRNA from 1 species